UGAGUACAAUACAUGCAUGUAAAAUAUAAGUAGUGGGGAGUCGGUUGAGUCAGAUUUAUAGUAAUAAUUAUAAACCUUAUCUUUUAAACUAAAUUGAAAAAUUUGCAACUGUUACUGGUCAAUACACAUGAAUAUGAUAGGAAAAAAUCUACUGAAUUUAUUUGAACUCAAGAAAUGUUUCCGCA